AUGAACGCUAGCUACAGGCUUAACACAUGCAAGUCGAGGGGCAUCAGGAAGAAAGCUUGCUUUCUUUGCUGGCGACCGGCGCACGGGUGAGUAACACGUAUCCAACCUGCCCUUUACUCGGGGAUAGCCUUUCGAAAGAAAGAUUAAUACCCGAUAGCAUAAUGAUUCCGCAUGGUUUCAUUAUUAAAGGAUUCCGGUAAAGGAUGGGGAUGCGUUCCAUUAGGUUGUUGGUGAGGUAACGGCUCACCAAGCCUUCGAUGGAUAGGGGUUCUGAGAGGAAGGUCCCCCACAUUGGAACUGAGACACGGUCCAAACUCCUACGGGAGGCAGCAGUGAGGAAUAUUGGUCAAUGGGCGCUAGCCUGAACCAGCCAAGUAGCGUGAAGGAUGAAGGCUCUAUGGGUCGUAAACUUCUUUUAUAUAAGAAUAAAGUGCAGUAUGUAUACUGUUUUGUAUGUAUUAUAUGAAUAAGGAUCGGCUAACUCCGUGCCAGCAGCCGCGGUAAUACGGAGGAUCCGAGCGUUAUCCGGAUUUAUUGGGUUUAAAGGGAGCGUAGGUGGACUGGUAAGUCAGUUGUGAAAGUUUGCGGCUCAACCGUAAAAUUGCAGUUGAUACUGUCAGUCUUGAGUACAGUAGAGGUGGGCGGAAUUCGUGGUGUAGCGGUGAAAUGCUUAGAUAUCACGAAGAACUCCGAUUGCGAAGGCAGCUCACUGGACUGCAACUGACACUGAUGCUCGAAAGUGUGGGUAUCAAACAGGAUUAGAUACCCUGGUAGUCCACACAGUAAACGAUGAAUACUCGCUGUUUGCGAUAUACAGUAAGCGGCCAAGCGAAAGCAUUAAGUAUUCCACCUGGGGAGUACGCCGGCAACGGUGAAACUCAAAGGAAUUGACGGGGGCCCGCACAAGCAGUGGAGUAUGUGGUUUAAUUCGAAGCAACGCGAAGAACCUUACCAGGUCUUGACAUCCGAUGCAUAGCACAGAGAUGUGUGAAAUCCUUCGGGACAUCGAGACAGGUGGUGCAUGGUUGUCGUCAGCUCGUGCCGUGAGGUGUCGGCUUAAGUGCCAUAACGAGCGCAACCCUUAUCUUCAGUUACUAACAGGUCAUGCUGAGGACUCUGGAGAGACUGCCGUCGUAAGAUGUGAGGAAGGUGGGGAUGACGUCAAAUCAGCACGGCCCUUACGUCCGGGGCUACACACGUGUUACAAUGGGGGGUACAGAAGGCAGCUAGCGGGUGACCGUAUGCUAAUCCCAAAAUCCUCUCUCAGUUCGGAUCGAAGUCUGCAACCCGACUUCGUGAAGCUGGAUUCGCUAGUAAUCGCGCAUCAGCCACGGCGCGGUGAAUACGUUCCCGGGCCUUGUACACACCGCCCGUCAAGCCAUGGGAGCCGGGGGUACCUGAAGUACGUAACCGCAAGGAUCGUCCUAGGGUAAAACUGGUGACUGGGGCU
rnacentral:rRNA from 1 species